GCCGCUGCGGCGACGGCGACCAAACAAGCCCGCUUUUGUUUGUUGUGCUGUUGCGGCUCCACGGUGGGUGGAUACAAGGUGACAUCUGUUCAGGAAUCCCUGCUCAUGCACCUGAAAGGCUUUGGUGCUCUUCUUCUGAAAUAGAGAGAUUAAUAAAUGUCCCCGCGUCUGCUUUAGGAUUUUGAAAAAAAAAAAAAAAAUCCCCACCAACACUUACACUGGAGGUGCCUGUGUGCGCGCGCACGUACUUUAUCUCCACACAGCCACCUGUUUAUACGAAGGGAGUCAACCAACGGCGUAUGAAUUCCAAUAAGGCGCACACUCAGAACACACACACACACACACGUAAUCUAAAGCCCUUAUUUCAAAGCGGCGCGUGUAGAGAGACGAGGAGACGCUGGCAGGGAGGGGGAUGGAGGCUGACAGCCGUCACUGGUCUUAAGGAGGACGCACGCGCAAAGUGGGGUUAAGGGAACGAGUGUGCAGCAUCAACGAGGGACCGAUCGUUGCGUUAAUUAGCAAGAGCCGCGCGCAUCAAGGCACUGGCAGAGCGAUCAUAAUCCCACCGAGGAGCGGAGGGCGACGCACGUGAACCGGAACAGAAGCUUUCUGCCGCUCAGUGGCGCCGAGACGUAGCCGCCCUGUCGAGAAAUGCCAAGGGUUCACUUACGGAAGACUGCUCUGCCCAGCAAAACACAAAGACCACUUAAGCGGUAAAUAAAAUUUGAUUUUAAGCACAAACCGCAGACUGUGGAACUGGCGGCCCGUAGCGGCUCAAUGCGGCGUGCACGGACUAUAUUUCCAGGAAAGUUUUUUUUUUUCCUUAAAUCCUGUGAUUCGUCAAUUUAGGCUGUAGCCACCAAAGGCACAGAGAUGCAUGACUCAUCACUUUGAGACCUUCUCAAAGACAUUCAGUAGCUAUGGAGGUAUGAGGACGGAGUGAUAUCUAACCACCAACAGCUAAUUUAACCCUUCUGUGCAUUUAAUGACAAAAGGAAUAUUAAGAAAGGGCUGCAAUUAAUGUGAGGCAAGAGGAAGGUACAGUAGUUUAGUGCAAGUUUUGUUGGAUCACUUUCUUAGAAGGAAGGCAUUGAUAUGAUUCCAGAGCAUCGCCCACCUCUCCUCUCCCGUCCCUCAGCCGACAGUCUGCUGUGUCCACAGGCCUCUGGUAAAAUAUGCAUCGGCUGUCGCCACUCGCCCCUGUUCCACCGUCCUCCGCCUUCCACUCAUGGCCGAGCAGAAAACUCGACCACAGCCAGGUGAAGUUGUCAGCCUCGACAGCAGCCACGCGAUCUUUAGGCACCGGGGAGCUCCCGCGCUGAGGUCUGCCUCUCCCAAAUAAUAAUUCAUAGCGCUGGCAAGUGACAGAAAUACAGGGAGGCAGAGGAGCACGAACACAAAAUGUUCCGUGACCCGUGUGGACCUGACACUGUCUCACUUCAGCCGAAAGACUGAAAAACAGGUUGAUGUUGACGUUUGUGUGAUGCUUUUUUAACCGCUUUUCUUUUUCACCCAGGAGUCACCUCUAUCGCAUGACUUGAGGUGGUUUAGAAUAAAUAAAAUGGACAUUAAUAGAAUAAAUUGCGCAGAUUUUCAGUUCAGUUGGUCAUGAAUUCAAGUUUAGCGCACUCAUUCCACUGCAGCAUUUUCUCUGUCCAUAUUAUGACUUUUAUGAGCAGGCAGCGAAAUUAAAUCUAUCUCCACACCUUUAUGAUAAACAGUAAUCUGUCAAUCAUCUUUAAGCAGCCUUUACAUGUGAAAGUGUCAGUGUCAGUGUCUCCUCUUACACAAAUCUUUUAAAUUGAUUCAGUAUUCAUCUCCCGCCUCAGUGAUUAGGCCCAUUAAAGCUCUUUUAAUGGAACAAUCUCAUUGAAGUGAUUGAUAUUUGGGGAGAAGAAAGUACAGCUCCUCGGGGGCUGGGUUGUGCUGGAGUUUGCAAAAAGAAAAAAAAAAAGAAAAAAAAAUAGAAAAAGAAAAAAAAAAUUGCAAUUAAAAAAUGUC